ensembl:rRNA 5S_rRNA 5S ribosomal RNA
GCCAGCAGCCCUGUCACCCUGCAGCUUACAACUGGCAACCCACUGAAGCUCAGCAGGUGUGAGCCUGGUCAGUACCUGGAUGGGAGACCUCCUGGGAAAAACUAAGGUUGCUGCUGGAA